AUGAACGCUGGCGGCGUGCCUAAUACAUGCAAGUCGAGCGAACAGACGAGGAGCUUGCUCCUCUGACGUUAGCGGCGGACGGGUGAGUAACACGUGGAUAACCUACCUAUAAGACUGGGAUAACUUCGGGAGACCGGAGCUAAUACCGGAUAAUAUAUUGAACCGCAUGGUUCAAUAGUGAAAGACGGUUUUGCUGUCACUUAUAGAUGGAUCCGCGCCGCAUUAGCUAGUUGGUAAGGUAACGGCUUACCAAGGCGACGAUGCGUAGCCGACCUGAGAGGGUGAUCGGCCACACUGGAACUGAGACACGGUCCAGACUCCUACGGGAGGCAGCAGUAGGGAAUCUUCCGCAAAGGGCGAAAGCCUGACGGAGCAACGCCGCGUGAGUGAUGAAGGUCUUCGGAUCGUAAAACUCUGUUAUUAGGGAAGAACAAAUGUGUAAGUAACUAUGCACGUCUUGACGGUACCUAAUCAGAAAGCCACGGCUAACUACGUG
rnacentral:rRNA from 1 species